AUGAACGCUGGCGGCGUGCCUAAUACAUGCAAGUCGAGCGAACAGAUAAGGAGCUUGCUCCUUUGACGUUAGCGGCGGACGGGUGAGUAACACGUGGGUAACCUACCUAUAAGACUGGGAUAACUUCGGGAAACCGGAGCUAAUACCGGAUAAUAUUUCGAACCGCAUGGUUCGAUAGUGAAAGAUGGUUUUGCUAUCACUUAUAGAUGGACCCGCGCCGUAUUAGCUAGUUGGUAAGGUAACGGCUUACCAAGGCGACGAUACGUAGCCGACCUGAGAGGUGGGUCGCCCAACCUGGAACGGAGCCCCGGUCCAGACUCUGCGGGGGGGCACAAGUAGGGAUCCUUCCGCAAUGGGCGAAGGCCGAACGGAGCAACGCGGGGUGAGUGAGGAGGGUUUUGGUAUCUUAAAACUUUUUUAUGGGGAAAAAAAAUACGUGAAAGUAACUGUGCACGUCUGCACGUUACCUAAUCAAAAACCCCCGCCCACCUACGUG
rnacentral:rRNA from 1 species